GACAGCGAGAAGGGAGCAUGAGCGGGGAGGAGACGGAGAAGCAGGCUCCCCACUGAGCAGGGAGCCCGCGGCGGGACCCGAUCCCGGGAACCUGGGAGCAAGACCCCAUUGGAAGGCAGACGCCCAACUGUCGGAGCCACCCAGCUUCAUGAUUUCCACGCUGGUUCCUUGUCUACAACGCCUGGAGGGCGAGAACACAGACACUCUCCCAGGUACGGGUAUGCGGCCCGCCCCAUGUCACGCUGCAGGACGUGGGCAGGCGCUCCUCAGGUGAGCGCGGAAAUGCAGCUCAAGUAUUUUCUACAUUGAAACAAUCACAGAAAUCGUCCAAUGCCGCGUGGUUCUCUGCCCCUCCCCCUUUCUCUUGGCCUCUUCACGAGCAGGUGGGGUGUUCUCCACUUCGGGUGCAUCGGAAUCACUCAGGGGGUUUGUGAGAUCCGAGUUUUGACCCUGUAGGUCUGGGGUAGGCGCCACGAAUCUGCUUUCCUAACUCCCGGGUGAUCCCGGGACCACAAUCUGACCCACAAAAAAUCAUGGGCACCUGCUGCCUUCCACUUCCCCUCAGCUCACUCUAAGCUGGUUUCCGGGGUUUCUGAUUUCUCGGCCCA